rnacentral:rRNA from 1 species
AGUGAACGCUGGCGGUAGGCCUAACACAUGCAAGUCGAACGGCAGCACAGUAAGAGCUUGCUCUUACGGGUGGCGAGUGGCGGACGGGUGAGGAAUACAUCGUAAUCUACUUUUUCGUGGGGGAUAACGUAGGGGAACUUACGCUAAUACAGCAUACGACCUACGGGGGAAAGCAGGGGAUCUUCGGACCUUGCGCGAUUGAAUGAGCCGAUGUCGGAGUAGCUAGUUGGCGGGGUAAAGGCCCACCAAGGCGACGAUCCGUAGCUGGUCUGAGAGGAUGAUCAGCCACACUGGAACUGAGACACGGUCCAGACUCCUACGGGAGGCCGCAGUGGGGAAUAUUGGACAAUGGGCGCAAGCCUGAUCCAGCCAUACCGCGUGGGUGAAGAAGGCCUUCGGGUUGUAAAGCCCUUUUGUUGGGAAAGAAAAGCAGCAGGUUAAUACCCCGCUGUUCUGACGGUACCCAAAGAAUAAGCACCGGCUAACUUCGUG